rnacentral:rRNA from 1 species
CAAUAGCGUAUAUUAAAGUUGUUGCAGUUAAAAAGCUCGUAGUUGAAUUUUUGCUUGCCGCCGAUGUCGGAACUUCCGUACGUUCGGCGGCGUGCAUCCUUGGGUGGAACCUGUGUGGUAUUAGGUUGUCGUGCAGGGGAUGCUCAUCGUUUACUGUGAAAAAAUUAGAGUGUUCAAAGCAGGCUUACGCCGUUGAAUAUAUUAGCAUGGAAUAAUAAGAUAGGACCUUGGUACUAUUUUGUUGGUUUGCGCACCGAGGUAAUGAUUAACAGGGACAGUUGGGGGUAUUCGUAUUCCAUUGUCAGAGGUGAAAUUCUUGGAUUUCUGGAAGACGAACUACUGCGAAAGCAUUUACCAAGGAUGUUUUCAUUAA